ensembl:lncRNA
CAGAAUUAAGUAUAGCUGCAAACCUGCUAUGUGUGUGCAUUUUUUUGAUGGAAAUCACCCACUAGGCUGUAGCAUAUGUAUGGCUGAGUAAUAGCUUCUUCUGUGCUGAGCUGGCUGCGGCUCAUCGUUCGCUGCACAUUCACUCCGUGUUAAAGGCCAGACCCUGCUUCAUUACACAGUGUCUUAACCUUGUUUUGCCCUUCUAUCCAAUGACAGCUGCUUUGUUUCCUUUCGCUAGCAGUCAAACAUCACAAAUUCCUUCUCUGUAAAGCCAUUAAAAGAGAACCAACACCACCCCAAGUGGUUUCAGGACUAACUGAUUUAGAUGCUGGAGUCUGUUGCAGGGCCAAAAAUAACUCCCCAUUUCUUUCUCCUUCAUUGGUGAAAGGAGAAGAGAAAGUGGCCAAUGACAGAGACACAACUUCCCCGUAGGCACCAGAGACAAAUCUAUUUCAUAGCAGGAAAAAAAAAUAAUGCUCCUGAAAAAUGUUUCUUUGCUCGGGCCAAUAGACACAGAACUGCUGCAUGUAAUUUUGCUGAACCGAUGGUAUCACUUGAAUGGCUCACGGACUACAUAAAAUGCAUUACAUAAUUAUAUUUUUAAACACUGUCCCCAGCUGUGCUGAUGCACACAAAAGCUGUGUUUACAAUGGACUCUGCACAUGUAAUUAUUUUGUGGCACUAGCUCCGCGCAUUUCCUUGAUGGAUGCUCCAUGGUGCAUAAAAUUGUAGCUUUUAUCAAAGAUUCUUGGAUGUAUUCUUUGGCUGUUUCAGCUUUAAACACCCAGCUGUCCUCACAUGGGUGUGCAGGCCUGAUGUCUGGGAGGGGUAAGUUAUAGCAUCUGGGGAACACCUUGCUCUGGGAGCUGCAGGGGGGACGAUGAUCAGCUGGAAGCAUGCUGAGCAGCAGAGCCUGCUGCUCCUCUCAGGGAGGUUUGCUGCGCUGUUCCUUGGGAUGUGGCACCUGCUCUGCUCCUAUUUGUCUUGCACAUCUUCAUCCUAGCCCCGUUAAGGCUGCAGCAACCCGACCCAGCCACUUUGCAGCACAGGGGGGCGAGGUGGUGCCUUGCAUCUGUGCAGGUGCAGGAGAGAAGGGGCUGCAGGCUGUGGUUGCAAAGUCAAACAGCGUGGCUUGCAGGGUACCAGACCCAAAGAUCAGCUUUGGUUUGUAUUCUGUUCCGUUUGCAUACAGAAAGCUCCCUUGGCUGUUCUCCAUCCUGUUCUGGAAUACCGAGUGUUUCUCCAUCUGAACGCAGUGGCUGAUGUGUGGGACUCAGCAAAGAGGACAGUGGGAUAUUUAUCUUAGAUCUGUUCCAGUGCUCUUGAGUAUUAAUAUCACUGUGAAAACCUAGAUGCUGGAAGGAUCGGUACGCAUCACGGUCCAAGAGUUUUGCCUGCCAAGCAGUAAAGCUUGGAAAUAAAUAAAGACAAAAAGUAAUAGUCCUGAGCAUCGGUUUCAAAGUAAUGGGAUAGCAGCACUGCUGGUAGCGACCUUUUUAUUACUAUCACUGCAGAGAACUGGCGGAUUUUUCUUGUCAAUAAGCAAGAUGGCUUGGCACCGUAUCUCUCAUCCCUUGGGUACGAGACUCCACAGAGGAAAUGCUGAUGUUGUCGUGAGCCAAUUUUUAAUAGCAGGUGUUUGGUUGGAACUCCAGCCUGCCUUGUGGCAGCAGGGAGUGCGAGUCCUUCUGUUACCAUUCCUUGCUCUUUUCAGCCCUGCGUUUGACUGUGGAAGCUGAGAGCCUGGGGGAAGUUGCGCCAUGUAAAGCAGUCAUUGCUCAAUAGUGAAUGAGUUAUUCCACAGCAAAUGGUCUGGCUGCUGGUACACCAAGUUUUCCACUCUCACAUGAAUACAGUCAUUUCCCAUCAUGGAAACUGUGUGGCUAUGGAUGCCCUUAGCAUUCCCCCUGUCUGGCAUGUUAAGUUUACAUACCAGCUUUGAGGCUGCUGGUGCGUUUUGCACCAAAGGGUCAGGCGAUGGAGGAAGAAUCUCUGGAGUGGAAAAAAUGUGGAACUGCAGAAGUUUAUUGUAUGUUUGUUUGCAUAGCCUGCCUUCCAGAUAAAUCGCAUCUCUCCUAGUACAGCAGCGCUGGAAAAAGAGCCCUUGGAUGACCCACUUGGAGUCUGAGACACCAGAGGGGCUACUUCAGAAAAGAAAGCAGAGGAAGGCGCCAGAAGCCAUGCAGAAGAAACACAUCUGGAGUAAGCAGUGCUUUGUGUUGUCCACGUGUGUGCACGUGCUGCAUCUGGAUCACAAACCAUUGUUAUUUUAUUGGGGAUAGUGUGUCUUGUACAUAUACAGACUGCAUUUUUCACCCUGCAUGCUUCUUACUAAGGCAUAACGUAUUACUUUCUCAAGGGCCCAUUUCCUACUGCUCCCUUUAUCUUCCCUUAGGGAGCCCCACUAGAGUCCAUCAGCCACCUAGGCCAAAAAUAUGUUUUUCAAAUGCCUGAUCAUCUAAUACCAAUCAGCAUAAUUCCACCUGCUUUGAUAAAGCUGUGACUUAAGCCAGUGAAGAUCAAACUCCUUGAUAUUUAAUGCAACAUAGAUAAGCUCAAAAACUUGUGAGCAAGGAAUAUUUCUAGGUAUAACACGUUUCUGCCAUUACUCCACGAUAUUAGCUGCAGUUUCUUGCUGCAGAUGCUUGUUCAAGGCUCAUGUUUAUCUUUAGAGAAGAUGGAAAUAGGAGUUGCCUGUCUUUUGCAAAAUGCUGAUGCUGUGUACAAGCAGAAGUAAGAAUUCACGCAGAAGUUAAGACAAGUCUUGCAGUUCAACAGGAAGAAAACAGAUGUCUUUAGACUGCUGUUUGAACCUUGACCAUUGCCCUUUUGUACCUCUGAGUCACCAGAGGCUUCUGUUUCCAAAAACAAGAUAAUGCCUUGAAGAGCCAAAGUUCAGUGUAAAUUAUGUCACGACUAUAGGAGCUGAGGUGUCAUCUUUGCUGCAGCGAUUCCCUCUUGGAAAUGUUCGAUAAAGCGUGGAAGAAAGUGGCACUGACUCGAUAUAUCUCUGGAGCACUGCAAGUCCAUUCCUGCCAUACUACUAACUGAGGGAAGCGUUUUCUUUUUUUAAUUCCACAAAGCUCUAUAACUGUAUUAUCCAAGCAGCUAAGCACUCAGAUUACGUAAGCUGAACAUAAUAGGAGGUCUGUAAAACUUUGCUGCUCACAGUCUUGGAAAUUUCUACAUUGCUAUUUAAUGGUGACUCAGCUGCAGAUCUCCCAGAUGAUCUCGGAGGACACAUGAUGGGGUUCCGUCUUUGGGAGAGCAGAAUGUGGCCCUCAAGUAUGGCCGCGGCUGGGGCCUUGCUCUCCUGUGCACCCUCAGCUGCUCUGAGAGGUCUUGAGCUGCUGAUCAGCAGAUACUCACUGCCACACCUUCCGGUUCUGUCCUUCUAGGAAUGUUUACCUUGUGUUUUCAAAGCAAUCCACCUCCUGAUUUGCACAGCAGGAGAAUUUAACUGUCGUGCCAGAUAGCAACCUCAAAAUGUACUUUUACGGUCUGUUUCUUCUAAAGGAUAUUUUUGGCCGUAUAAGUGAUGUUUUAAGAAUAAUUUGACUAAGCACUAUUUUUAUGACAUGUAUAGCUUCAUAGCGCAUUACUAACCAUAUGGCCAAACACAGUGCCUGAAGUUACAUGGCAGGGUUUACUGCCCAGUCGGAAUGAAAAACAUCUAUUUUUGAAUGGCUGUGUAUUGGGGGGAAAAACAUGAGUCUUAUGGGAAGCAGCUGAAGGAACUGGAAUUGUUGAGUCUGGAGUAGAGGAGGCUCAGGGGAGAUCUUAUUGCUCUCUACAGCUGCCUGAAAGGAGGUUGUGAUGAGGUAGGUGUUGGCCUCUUCUCCCAGGUAACAGCGAGUGAUAGGACAAGAGGGAAUGGCUUCAAUUUGAGUCAGGGGAGUUUCGGUUGGGGUAUUAGGAAAAACUUCUUCACAGAAAGAGUGGUCAAGCCUUGGGACAGGCUGUCCAGGGAGGUGGAGCAGUCACUGGCCCUGGAGGUGUUGAAGGAAGGGGAAGAUGUUGUACUAAGGGACAUGGUUUAGUGGGAAAUACUGGUGGAGGGUGGACAGUUGGACUAGAUGAUCUUAGAGGUCUUUUCCAACUCUAAUGAUUCUGUGAUUCUAUGAUUAUAUUUAAAAGUCACAACCUUGUGACCUUUCUUGGUUUUCUUGGUUUUCCCUUGGUCUUGAAUAAGGCUCAUCAUCGUAUCUUACCUAGAUCUUAUCUUGGCAGUGGUAAGAGCUCAUGAGGCCAGAUGGCUCAUGGAAUGACUGGUGAGGGCUUUGUGGUGAAACUAUGUCAACUGUGACUGAAGUUUAUCAUUGGCAUUAUUUGACAGUGUAGGGUAUGUGAGCCCAGCUUGCUGUAGAGAUGUGUCUUCAAUGUGAAAUCCACUGACUCAGUUUGUAUCAGUUAGUGUUGGGCAGAAACACCAAGCACUGAUGUGGCACAGUGAUGAACUGCGCUCAGAUGUAGCCUCUCUGGAUUAGAGCUGGGCUGUUCCAUGAGGCCAAUGAUGUUUCCAUUACUUUGUGUUUUCCUCUUCUGCAGACAAAUCAUUCCAGCCAGAUGCAUGCACACACUGGGAUGUUCAUGCAGAAACACAGACUGGUUCUCCCAGGAGCAGGCCCAACUACUCAGUUGGGACUGCCUUACUAACUGAGGCGUAACAGUAGUUAGGUGGGCCUCGAUGCAAAUGUCGCAGGGGGUUUCCCUGCAUGUUUCCAAUGUAUGACUCUACUGAAAUAUCCUCCUUCAGCUUGCUUGGUCACCAUCCCUGGCAUCUGCAAUGCUUUGUGGGUAGCUUUACUGUUCUCGUAAUACCAGCAGCUCUUGUACAAUCUCAAAUCAGCAGUUGUUCUCUUAAGUCAACGCAGGUUUCACCUAUCAUAUUGACUCAGUAGCACACUGCAAAAUUCACCUACUCCCUUAUUCUGCCAAUGAUCACAUCCUAUUACCUGUAAAGCGAUGAUCAACUUCCCCAUUUCUGCCAUAAAACGUAAUUUCCUGUGAGAAAGAACAAGCUCCACCUUCAGAGGGUUGCAAAUGAAACAGGGUGUGUUCAGGGGGUAGGAAGGGGACAUUUGCUGGUUUUGCUCUCGGGAGCCAGGAGUCAAAGUGGGGAUCAGGGAAGUCAAGAACUUUGGCCCUGGCUCUGGUAACGAUUUUCUGUAUGGCCUUUUGUGAGCUCUUUCACGUCUCCACCUCGUUCUGCCCAAGCCUAAAAUGGGGCUCAGAAUCGUCACUUUUCUCACACCUCCCCCUCCCCACACACGGAGGGAGUUGUGAGCAGGUUUAAUGUUUAUCUCGGAGGCUUUGAACGGUAUCAUCCAUCCAGGGAAUGUAUGCGGGCAUUCAGACCCCACAGUGAGCCUUAUAAAAUCGUCAAGAAAUAAAAAGGCAUCUAUAUUAAUCAUAAAUCAAGGACUGGAACAGAACACUUGGUUAACAAACCUGCGAAACAAGCUUUGUUUCAUUGGCUUGCGCUGCUUUAUGGUUCUGUUUGUGUAUGUGGAAGUGAUGUUCAGUAUUUUUAAAUGAGUCACAGGACUGGAAGAACAAAAAUAUUGGAUGGUAACAUAUAGCAGCAAAACAAUUACUCUUUUCAUUCUGACAAGCACAAUAACCAGAAUAGCUAGUUAGAGCUGGAGGUCUGGGCACAGAGCUCCUUUCGAUCUACCAGAGAUUUUCGAUCUACUUGCAAGACAGGCAAGCAGAACUGAAAUGUUAUAAUGAUAAAAGAUAGCAUUAGGUGAAACAAUAAAAUCAAGCAUGCCGUUGGGGUAUGGGUAUUUACAGGCAUGAAGGCUCUCCCGAUCAGUGCUGCAUGCAGAAUGCUCCCACAGCCAGCCUCGUCUAGCAGCUUUCUGUACCUUUAUCCAGAGGAGACUCCUUUCCACCCUGCUUGCUGCAUUGCACCACUGAUUUAGUGAAGACAUCAUCCUCAUAAGGAUGCUCUUCUAACUCACCUCUGAAAUCUGCUUGCUUUUCUCCUCUGACAAUUAGGUUUAAAUGUGCUGCAGCAAAGUACUCAUCCUUAACAGUCGUAUGGCUUUUUAAGUGAUAAACUGCAUUAGCAAAUUCCUUAUUAGAUAAUCUAUCAAAUGAGGUCAUACGUAAUUUUAGCAGUCUCAUCUUGAUUUAUAACACGAUCGCAGCAAAUUACGCAUAGGAGAGCAGCGUGCUGGCUGUCACACUCAGGUGCUCUCACUGUGCUGGGACAGCAGUGCCCAGGCUGGCCAGCAGCUGGCAGCCCUCCCUGUUGCCACAGCGGGACCCAGCUGACUUAGAGCCCUGGGGCUCAGCCCUGGCUUUCUUGGGACCCAUAGGACGUCGAGGCAGGUGUCUAAGCCCUUGCUCCAAACCUCCUAGCAGUAGUCCUUUGUGGUGUUCGUUCUGACAGGCUUUCCCCUUAAAUAGGGGCAUCAGCUCUCCAAAAAGCCAGCUGAUGGGUGGGGUGCCUGCCUGCAGCCUGGCUGCCCGCCAGCCAAAGCCCAAGUGAUGAAAUCCAGGGGGAAAGGGAGGAGAAACACCGCUUCAGAAGGACGCUGUGCUGCUGCUGCUGCAGAUCCUCCAUCCCCACAGUGGAGUUGCUCCCGGGACCGGGAGGAGACGCAAUUCCUAUCCCCCAGCUGCAAACUUCUUCCACAAACAUUAUUUUAUCCUUUGAGAUUUAUCUGUAACUCCCGCAGGGGGAGCUGCAAUAAAUUAUCUGGCCUCGCCCUUCUCCUCACCUGCUCUCACCUCACGUUGGUAUUUCUGGGGUCUGAGCUGUGCUGAGCCUCGAGGGCUCGUGUCAUCUGCAUGUCUCAGAAUAACUUAUGUCUCUCCCUCUGUACUUACGGCCAAACCCUGCCCGGGAAGGACAAAGCAGGAUGGAACGAGAUUUAUCCCUCGGCAUUGUAGGUAUCUGCCCCUAAGCUGUAAAAUAAAAGCUGAAUAAGAAUCUUGAUAAACAUUUCCUUGGGCAGUAUCAAAUAGAGGCCUAGCUAUCGCUGCAGGAAAACUUCUGGAAACUCUGAGUAGGCAGAACACCGCACUGCUUUUGGAGGAACGUUCCUGGAGUGAGGGACUGGAGAAAUCAAAGCAGUUCAUCGAGAAGAGUAAGCAAAGGGAACGCUUGCUGUGGAUGGCACUGCUGUUUUGCACACCCUAAGCUGUGUAUGGCAGAUUGCAGCAGAGCCUGGGGAAGGCAAUUAAAGACCCAGAUGAAGACCAGAACAUCAGACGUCCCUCUGGAGCCCACGUGCCCGAACUGCCGUUCCUCCCCACCCUAAUAUAAACAGCGGGGCAAAAGGGCUCAUUUCUCAGCUGCCACUGAGCAGCGUCGGCUGACGGCAGCGCCGGGACCCCCAGAGCCCUGCCCGGACCCCAGGAGGGGCCCGACCUCUCAGCCCUGCUCCCCGCAGGCAUGGGGGGCACAGCUCCAUCUCCGUGCCUGGCAGCGACGUGCCCACGGGCCCCCAGCAGCGAGCAGCCCGGGUUGGACGCUCGUGCUGCAGACCUGCCUCUGCAGAGGUGUUUGCAGCCAUUGGCACGGGCGCUGCAGAGCCGUUGCCUGGCAGCACGCGCGUCCUCUUCCCCGUGACGAGCGCUGAGCAUCGUCUCCAUCGACCCGACCGCCUCCCAGGCUUCAGCUCCCUGCCCGGGAUAGAGAGCCAAAGGCAGCCUGCGUGCGGGAUGCGGAGACCCUUGUGCUAAACCUCACAGGCUUGAAGGCUCAAGCUGCACGAGGGCAGGCAGGAGCUGCUCUCUUCUCACUGACCGUUUGCCACGACAUGAGAAUGAACAUCGUGCAACCAGCGACCUACAGCUACAGCUCUGUUCUCCGCAGCAUCCCCGCCUUGAGCAGUGCCAGUGGCACAGCAAAGCCGGGCAAACCAAGAGGGGCAGGGACCAGCUGCAGGGAGGUGCAGGGAGGCAGCACGGAAGUUCACCCACCUUCAGCUUUCAUCCUGUUGCCAGAGCUGGCAGCUGUUAUCCUGGUUGCCAAUCUUCCUGUCCAGCUGUACAUCCUCCAGCCUGAAAACAUCUUCUUCAGCCUCUCAAGGAGAACAGAAACAGAUCCAUAGUCUCUUGGUGGAGAUGAUUUUGCAGGGCUGUGAUCCAAGCCAGAAGGCUGAGCAGGAGUCCACUUUCCAUGCACAAGCUACCACCGCAGAAAUGAUGUGCAAAAUGGCUCUUUUACUCUUCACUCAAGGCUUUUAAGGACAUUUGCAGACCUUGUACGCAGUGGGAAAGAGGCAGAGGAGGAGAGUGACUGGGCAGCCCUCCCUUCUUUCCAAGUGGAAGCGGCCUAGCAGGCUGUUUUUAUCUCCAGGACUCUUCCUGAAGGAUGUGCUGAAUUAAUGCCCCAAGCAGGAGUGCAGCUGAAGGCUCACCGUGCCCUACAGAGAAGUGACAACACAGCUGCGGGUGGCAGGAUCCCUCCCUUGGUCUUUGUGCCCUUCAGUGGUGGACGAAGGCUCCAGCGAGGUGUUUGCAGCCUACAGAAGCCAUGAGCACGGUGCCUCUGCCUGUUGGUUCACCAAGCGAAGGCAACAGAGUCAAAGUAGUGGAAGGCCUGUGCACGAUGGGGCUGUGAUACUGGCCUGGGUGAGCAGCUAGCACUAAUUUGAGCAGCCCAAAGGUCACGACUAUUUAUGCAGAUAAAAGGUCAGUGGCAAGCUGGCAGGUGGCUGUGGGCUAUCUUGGUACGCGCUGCGCCCCGGGCGCUGAUGUCUGCGUCUGGUUCACAGUUAGUUUGUCUUUCCACAUGGACUUUCAGGCCAGGUUCUGGCUGAAAUAAAACACAACGGGGAAAGAAAUCUCUGGUCGUGUGAGUUGAUGCUGUUGGGAGACAGCUGCAGUUUUUGUGGCUUGGGCUCAUCUGUAGCUAAAUCAAACCUUUGAAUCAUUAUUUAUAAAAGACAGCCAAAUUCUGAACCGUUUGCUCAGUGUUUAGUCAGCUCUUACAUGGACAAACUCCUGUGAAAGCGUGCGUGAUGGCAGAUAAGGGAAAAACUGAAUCAGGUGCCCUGUUGAGAGGCAGCAUGUCUGGCCAGGAACUCCAGCAGCAGUGGGCGUCUGCACUGCAGGUGCCUGGGAAGAAGUCACCUCAGAGGGGCAGGACCUUACAGCACGGCCUGAAUUGCCAGAGCAGGUUCAGGUUAGCUGAAACAACAUCUAGGUGAGUGAAAAAGGGAAGCAGGUAUACUAUGUUUAGUCCAGUCAGAUUCUAUGCUAUGUUUGAAACUUUUAUAGUCAGUCAGUACCAGUGCCGCAUCCUUUUCUCUCAUUAGAAAGCAAAAAUGUUUUCAACCUUUGGUUCCAGGAGUUGUCUGUCUGCCUAUACCAAUUUUAAACAAAAUCCUUUAAUGUUCUCCUGUAAUUUGGUCCAAUACAGCCUGGUCUCCAAGACAAAAUAUGCAAAAUAUUUUGUGACAUUUCAUUCCCCAAACAAAAGGUAAUGGGAAAACAUCAUUAUAUUGAUUUGUUUUUCAUCACAGAGGUAUUUGGCAGCAUGCCCUAAUUAAGGUUGUAGCAAUAAUUUUAUUAUAAGCACUGCUUUGCCUCCCCUGGUAAUUUUUUAAUAGGAGUUAGCUAUUAGUCUGUUAUUUUGGUUUGCUAAUAAAGAAAAAAAUAUGUUACAAUGGAAACCUCCCAUGUAGAAAGCAACCAAAGCUAGUUGUCUUCAGACCUGGAAAAGCAUUUCUUUUUUUCUGUCUUCCCAUUGGAAUGGAUGACCACUAAAUUCUUCCCUGACUGCUGUCUUUCUAGGCCUGCCCCCACACCCAGGGAAGUUUAAGCAGUGACUUGAGCACCACCUGCUUGGAUGUGUUUUGUCAAGACUGAUAUCUCUAUUAUACCCUUUCUUCACUUCAUAUUUGGCGGACUUGGCUAUAGGCAAACUGAAAUGAAUCUGCAGCAGUGGCAUAGUCUGAUAGGUGAAACAGACUAAUUUGUAUGUGUUUUCCCACUGAAAAUGGCAAAAUUCCAGCCACUGAACGUUCACGAGUAUUCUGCUCAUUGUGUUCAAGCCAAAAAGUCUCCACAGGACAUUAGGGUUUGACCCGAUGUCCGCAGACACGCUGCACACAACCCAAGUGUGGUGGCACACUGGGUGGCCAUGCAGGACUUCCCUUCGAUGAAGCCUUCUGGCCCACCAGUGGGAGUGCAGGUGACUCCUGCAGACUUUCUCUCAAAUCUCUUUGGAGGAAAUUAAAAUAAGCCUUUGCAGAAACUGGAGGAAUCGGAAUGCACCCAGCCAUUUUCUGGAUUUAAUGCUACCUCUUGUGUUAUUGUCUUCAGUCUCUGAAAAACAGAACUGUCCAGUAGAUAAUGACUGUUAGAUUACUAAUUAGCACAUUUCUGUUAUCUUGGAGCAAAUACAUUUUUUAUGCUUUCCCUCCUAUUAAAGUAUUUCAGAAAACAAAACAGAAAAAGCAAAAUCUAAUUCAUAAUCGACUGUUAUGGGCCAUCAAUUCUUGUAUUUCAAGAACAUAGGCUGGAAAGGGGAACGUCUGCUGCUCCUGCCCAGGGUACCCUCCCACAUUCUGCAUCUCCAAGGAGAGACUGUUCCAGCAGGAUGAGCUGGUAUAACGAG